GCUUAAACAGAUUUAAUUGUAAUGUUAUGUUUCACAUUCUCCCUAUUUCUAUUUUAAGCCAGAAAUUGGGCUGGCAAAGAGCAAACACUACCUUUGAAAAGAAAGAGCUUUGUGCAGUUGAAAUGACUAUUCUAAUUCCAUAGUUUGAAUCAAUUCUUAAAUGGUGAGUGAGCCCAUAUGUAAACACUUUUUCAGGAGUUAGGAGUGCAAAACAAACACAAAAGUGAAAAAUCUGAGAAUAAAAAAACAUGAUUUUUUACAAUCUAAGUGAACAGUUCUCUAGGAAGCUUUAGAUCCUCUAGUACGACCUUAUAGUCAACUUCCACUAAUUGACUCUACAUUCUGUUCCAGAUAGCUGUAUAGAAUCCACACUGAAUUGGAAUAUAUGACAGUGUGUACUCAGAUAACCCAGUUCAAAGCAGAUAUUGAGGAAUUAUCUGCCUUGGUAUUCUGGGUUAUAUGGCAGUGUAGGUGUGGACAGUUGUAUAAAUAAAUAGAUAGAUAGAAGCUUUACCACAGUUUCUGAAUCAAGAUAAACCCUGCAGUAUAAUAAAAUGUCGCUCAGGCUUGUGCAACUAAUAACAGUAUCUUUACUUCAGUUCAAAAGUUCAAACAGGGUAACAAAGUAUAUAGCAGGCUUUCUGAAUUCACACAGAGAACAUGGGAAUAAACAGUCUCUUUAAAUAUGCCUCAUUUGCUUUAUAAAUAAUCAGGUUUCAAAGAGUAUGGCAGCCAUUUCCUCCCUGACCAUUUUCAGUCAGCGCUCUCCUCCCUCUCCUAGAUGAAAGUGGCAGUUAAAACUGUUUGUCUCUAGAGCAAGCUAGAGAUAGCAGCCAAUAGGAAUCCUGGUUGGCUCAGCCAAUCAGCUGUCACCACAUGCCUUUCCAGUCAAGUCAUUCCAUCAUGGUGUGUUUUUACAAACCCUCACAGAAGGAACCACAAAGAUGAAAUCUGGAAAUAGACUGGAGCACAGAUGAUGGAAGAAUGGAUUGUCAUGCUUGCUGAGUUGGCCCAAAUUAAAAUCUUUUCAAGCUGGAGAGGGAUAGAUUGUACCUAUCUGGAAUAUAGCAUCAAAGAUGAAAAUCCAAGUUGAGGAAGAAGAAAGAGGUGGAAAGUCUGCAUCCAAUACCAGAGCUAUGCAAUGUUUGGAACCUAGAGGCUUAAACAACUGCAACCAAAGUUCUCUGUCUGAUGAAUAAAUUAGUCAGUUUUUCCUUCCAAAA